UACGUAGGCAGCAAGCGUUGUUCGGAAUUACUGGGCGUAAAGAGUGUGUAGGCGGUGCUCCAAGUCUGGUGUGAAAUCUCCCGGCUCAACUGGGAGGGUGCGCUAGAAACUGGAAUGCUAGAGGAUGGGAGAGGUAAGCGGAAUUCCUGGUGUAGCGGUGAAAUGCGUAGAUAUCAGGAGGAACACCUGUGGUGUAGACAGCUUACUGGACCAUUUCUGACGCUGAGACACGAAAGCGUGGGUAGAAACAGG
rnacentral:rRNA from 1 species